UAGCCGAAUGCAGUUCCGAAAGCUGGGUCC
rnacentral:piRNA from 1 species